UGGGGAAUAUUGGACAAUGGGGGCAACCCUGAUCCAGCCAUGCCGCGUGUGUGAAGAAGGCCUUCGGGUUGUAAAGCACUUUAAGCAGGGAGGAAGGCUCGAUGGUUAAUAACCAUCGGGAGUGACGUUACCUGCAGAAUAAGCACCGGCAAACUCCGUGCCAGCAGCCGCGGUAAUACGGAGGGUGCGAGCGUUAAUCGGAAUUACUGGGCGUAAAGCGCACGUAGGCGGUUUGUUAAGUCGGAUGUGAAAUCCCCGGGCUCAACCUGGGAGCUGCAUUCGAUACUGGCAGACUUGAAUACGGUAGAGGGGGGUGGAAUUCCAGGUGUAGCGGUGAAAUGCGUAGAGAUCUGGAGGAACACCAGUGGCGAAGGCGGCCCCCUGGACCGAUAUUGACGCUGAGGUGCGAAAGCGUGGGGAGCAAACAGG
rnacentral:rRNA from 1 species